ACCACGCUGGGACGUAAGUGCCGAGGGCCGCGGCGUCUGACCUCAUGGCGUAGAGCCUAGCAACAGCGCAGGCUCCCAGCCGAGUCCGUUAUGGCCGCUGCCGCCCUGAAGAGGAUGAGGGGGCCAGCACAAGCGAAACUGCUGCCCGGUUGUAUCACGGACUGAUUCACCGAGCCCAACCGUACUCAACUCACAUAUUUCUACCCCAAAUGUGAAUGCUUUAACACAUGAAAACCAAACCAAACCUUCUAUUUCCCAAAUCAGCACCACCCUCCCUCCCACGAUGAGUACCGAGAAAAGUGGAGGAGCAUCUGUGGCCCCUCAUCCCUCGCCUACUCCUCUGUCUCAAGAGGAAGCUGAUAACAAUGAAGAUCCUAGUAUAGAGGAGGAGGAUCUUCUCAUGCUGAACAGUUCUCCAUCCACAGCCAAAGACACUCUAGACAAUGGCGAUUAUGGAGAACCAGACUAUGACUGGACCACGGGCCCCAGGGACGACGACGAGUCUGAUGACACCUUGGAAGAAAACAGGGGUUACGUGGAAAUUGAACAGUCGGUGAAAUCUUUUAAGAUGCCAUCCUCAAAUAUAGAAGAGGAAGACAGCCAUUUCUUUUUUCAUCUUAUUAUUUUUGCUUUUU
rnacentral:sRNA from 1 species